rnacentral:rRNA from 1 species
UGAGGAACAUGACCUUCGGCGGGGGAGUAGCCCGGGCCCCAACGGCCGGGUAAUACCGCGUACGACCACAUGGAGACAUCCCUGAGUGGUGAAAGCAGCAAUGCGCCGAUGGAGUGCCUCGCGGCCUAUCAGCUAGUUGAUGAGGUAACGGCUCACCAAGGCGACGACGGGUAGCUGGUCUGAGAGGAUGGCCAGCCACAGUGGGGACUGAGACACGGCCCAGACCUCCG